AGGGUGUUAGCUCAAUGUAAGGGCACUUGCUUUACAAUCAGGACAUUGGUGGUUCAAUUCCUUCAUUCACUA
rnacentral:tRNA from 1 species